GAUUGGUGGUAAUGACCUGAUGGUGGAUGGUUUCCAUGAAACAUCCUUGUCGUCAACAUCCACCAGUACCAGAGGGACAGGGCUCAGCCUCUGCAGUGUCACUGAUGUUCUCACUGCGGGAUGUCUCUGAGACCACCAUGUUCGCGAUCUGGUCUGCCUCAUUCUCCAUGUCUUGAUCCAGAGGGCUAUGUUUGACUGUAUUCUGCUGGAGAAAAACACAAGGGAAAAUUGCAGUAGCAAUAGAUUUUCAGUCAUUCAUCUGUACACAGCUGCCAACACCAGAUGACUUGUGCUUCACUCAAGCAUCAGGUGAGUAACAACAACCCCAAAACAUUGCCACUGUCUUCUCAUAUUCUCCAGCAAACCAUACUAACUGAUUUCCCUAUAUGAAUGUGCUUUUAACUGGCAUAUGUGUAUCUUUAAAUUGCAUUCAUUACUAUUAUUACUAUCAAUGACCACUAAUUCGGUUAUGGCGGAAAGCAAAAUGGCCACCACAAAGUGUUUUUGCAAUGGCUCCAUUUCUGAAAAUGUUCAGGGCCCCAAAUUGUACAAGUGUGCCAAGUUUCAUGCUUUUAUGAAAAAGUGAACAUAAUUUUCACAUAUCACCUGGACUGUUGCUGGUAAUAACAAACAGUUUUUAAAGAAAGAAAAGUCUCUGUGGUGUUCGGUGCAACAACUCCCAUCACUUGCAUGCAGAGGACACUUCGACAUGCAGACUGGAGGAGCUUGGAAUCAAACCGCCAAUGGACAACCCGCUCUACCUCCUGAGCCACAGCCACCCAAAACUAUUUCAUACCCUCCAGUGGUGGAGAAAUAUACAGAACUUUUACUUUAGUAAAAGUAGCAAUACCACACAACAAAAUUAAAAUUCCUGCAUUUGAAAUGUAAUUUUAAUUAAAAGAUAGGUUCAUAAUUUUUCAAGUUUGUCUUUAAACUAUGAGCCCAUAUGAAGAUUAAAAGUUCCUUCCUUUUUCCUUUAAUCAUUUGCAAAACCAUGACUUUAGUCUCGUUAUAUUUUGUUUUUAUGGGGAGAAAAAUCAAAUUCAUCUUGUGAUAUUCAGAUUUUUCUUUUAAAAUUACAGUUUGAGAGUUAAACUUGUCUUGUGCAAUUCUUCUAGUCUGGUCUGUAUUAAAACAACAAUCAUGAGCCUAAAUGAACAGUGAAAUGUGUUUUUCUUGUUGUAAUCAUUCCUCCUGUUCAAGAUUCCUUCAUAAAGCACUUAAAUGUAAGUAAUGAAGGACAAAAUCCAGCCAUCAUUCUGUGUGAAGACAUAUUCAAAAGUUUAUAUGAAGCUAAUAUGUGCAGCAGACUAAAUUAGUCAAAUUAAGUGGCUAUCUUCAAAAAACCCAAUCACCAGAAUAAAACGUUGGCAUUGUACAUUUCUGCAAACCACAGAUAUGCUGAAUCUCUACAUUUCAAUGUUUUAAGCUUUUUGUGUGUCAUUUAACACACUAAAUGGCCAUUAUCAUUUGAAUAAUCAUGUUUUAUGUUGUGAAAACACUGUAGUUCAGGUCUGGUUUAAUUUCAGGCAGGUCUGGUAACCGCUUGGUUAGGGUUAGGAAAAGAGAAAAAUGGCUGCAAAUGUCCCAACAUCUUGCUAAAAAUAUCAGUUGAAACAGGAAGUGAGCAGUGGUCUCGAACAGUGGUCUCUGCUGCUUUGAUGCUUUUGCAACUUUGUGCUAUGCAAUUAGCCAAGUGCCCAACCCACGUCCUCCUAACAUGGAAGCCAGCUUAUAUAGAUGUCAUCUGAACUAUGUCACUUUCCCUAUGAUACGUAUUGUAGAAAUGUUGAUAUGCUACGUAUUAAAUGUAUUGAAAUGUAGAGAUUCAAUGUGUCUGUGGUUUGCAGAAACAUACAAUGCCAACAUUUAUUCUGGUGACUGAGCUGCUUUAAGUUUUUAAGUUGUUUUUUUUGAUGUACAAUUCCCUCUUCUGUUGUUUUAAGACAGACUUGAAAAACUUGGAACCUAUCCUUAAAAGUACAAAAGUAUUAAAAGUACUCAUUAUGCAGAACGGCCUGGUCAGUGUAUAUCAUUGGAUCCUAACUAAUCUGUUUUAGAUGGUUGAUGUGGAGCUAAGUUUUACUGCUUUAUAUACUGUUGCGUGGUUUAAUCAAUACCUGUGCAUCAUAUUUGAUAAACUGAUUGUAUGUUUUAUGUAUAACAUCUUGAUCUGAAAGAAACAAGUAACCUUAGCUUUCCAAUAAACACAGUGACAGAAACAGUGACAGCACAAUAACAUAAUUUGAAAUGUAGUGGAGUAGAAGUGUG